AAAUUUCUACUGCUGUGGGUGUUGAAAAUUUAUUGUGUUUGAUUAUAUUAUACCACAUUUGCAGUUCAGAAUUGAUUUUCUUGUUUUUGUGAUUCUUUCAGCUAAGUUGCAGCUGCGGACUUCCAGGAAUCUUCGCUUGUCUGAAGGGAGCUGCUACAGUGCACUUUCAAGACCUGAAUGCCGAAACUAUAAGAUGCACAACUAUCCCUAAUGUCCUGGCCAACCUUGAGCAGGCUCGGGACAGG